GUUGCUGCUAAGCAGUGCUUACAUUAAGUGCUUUUCCUUGAGCUUCCCCUACUCUGCCAGCAAGGAGGUGCACAAGAAGCUGGGAGGGAUUAUAGGCAGGACAGCUGACCCACACUGGACGAAGGGGUAUUCCAUACUAUAUGACAUCAUGCUUGUAUAUAAGCUGGGGAGAGUUGGCCAGGGGCCAGCAACUGCUGCUCAGGGACUGGCUGGGCAUCGGUCGGUGGGUGGGGAGCUGUUGCAUCUCUUUUUUUUCCUGUUUUUUUUUUCCUCACUCUCUCUUUUGUUGUUUUCCUUCAUUACUAUCACUAAUACUAUGAUUAUUAUUAUUACAUUUUAUUUCAAUUAUUAAACUGCUUUUAUCUCAACCCACAGUUUUCUCACUUUUCACCUUCCAGUUCCCCCAGUCCCAAUGAGGGGGGAAUAAGCGAGCGGCUGUAUAGUCUUUAUUUGCUGGCUGGGGUUAAACCACGUCAAAUAAACAAGAAUGAAAUAUGACAUAAUUAAUCACUUAGGCAGGAUGAUUACAAAUUCCAUCAAGUUAAUUGGAAACUAAGCUAUACAGUUAUCAAAAUAAUACUGUUCAGCAGAAAUAUUUGUGAUCAAUUUGGAAUUAUGGUCUAUAUUUCCUUGUAAGGGUAAGACUUAAACUCUUGGCAUUUUCUGCUGAAGGCAACAUCCAGUCAGUUAGGUAGGCUUCACAGAAUGGAUCCUAUCCUUAGGUUGUUCGUUGACCGGUUGGUGUUGCAGAUCUAUGCUUCACCUUUGCUCUGAUAUAGAAACUGACUCUGGUCAGAGUUGUACCACCUUCAUGCUGUAGCUUCCAGUGGUAGUAACUUUGGUAGCUGUGAGCCCCCAUCAUAUCCUGUCAAUGCUUUCUGGGCUGGAGCUGACUUAUGGGCAGCCAGGCUGGACAGCAGAGGCAGAAUUAGCAUGUUAUGCCUGAUGCGUCCGAAUCUUAUGGGAGAGAGUGUCAAAAACAUUGCUGAAGUCAAGGUAUUGGACAUGCACUCCUAUCUUCUCACCUACACAUCCAGUCAUUUUAUCAUAGAAGGCAGUCAAGUUGGUCAGAAAGCCAUUCUGAUAUCAACUGAGGCUCCAAGUGAGUGAUGGUGAAGCAACUCUCAUUAGUUGUCUGUGUUCUCAGUGAAAGAGAGGGUUAUGUGACAUAAGAGGAUUUAACGGCACCGAAAAUCCCCAAUAUUUAAUUUGGAAGCACGAAACCAGUAUCGUCAUUGCUGUCAGACUUCCACUUGUCAUGACAGAUGGGAGGUGUCACGGGAGGUGAGGACAUUUGGAGAACAGCUUCAUGACCCAAGUAUGACUCAUAGUUGCUUGUUGCAUACAGACAAAUUGUCACAUAUGAUAGUUUUUUAGAAGUCUUCACAAAUGUGACUUCACUUACUGUCAUUUUUUCACCCUCACAUUCCCUAUUUUCUGCUGGUGUCCAAAAAGCAAUAAUUAACACCAAUGAAAUUCAGCAGGACUGGUUAAAUAGAAGUGAGAAAAGAA